rnacentral:rRNA from 1 species
AAAUACUGGGCGUAAAGAGUUGCGUAGGUGGCAUGUAAAGCGGACAGUGAAAGCGUACGGCUCAACCGUAUAUCCAUUGUCUGAACUUACAAGCUAGAGGACGAGAGAGGUACCUGGAAUUCCCAGUGUAGGAGUGAAAUCCGUAGAUAUUGGGAGGAACACCGAUGGCGUAGGCAGGGUACUGGCUUGUUCCUGACACUAAGGCACGAAAGCGUGGGUAGCAAACGGGAUUAGAUACCCCGGUAGUCCACGCCGUAAACUAUGGAUGCUAGCUGUUAGAGGUAUCGACCCCUCUAGUAGCGAAGCUAACGCGUUAAGCAUCCCGCCUGUGGAGUACGGUCGCAAGACUAAAACAUAAAGGAAUUGACGGGGACCCGCACAAGCGGUGGAGCGUGUUGUUUAAUUCGAGGCUAAACGAAGAACCUUACCAGGGCUUGACAUCCCGAGAAUUUCUCCGAAAGGAGAGAGUGCUUUAUUGAACUCGGUGACAGGUGCUGCAUGGCCGUCGUCAGCUCGUGUCGUGAGAUGUUUGGUUAAGUCCAUCAACGAGCGCAACCCUUGUGAUUAGUUGAAUUUUUCUAAUCAGACCGCCCUGGCAACGGGGAGGAAGGAGGGGAUGAUGUCAGGUCAGUAUUGCCCUUACGUCCUGGGCUACAAACACGCUACAAUGGCCGGUAUAAAGGGCUGCCAAGUCGCAAGACGGAGCAAAUCCCAUCAAAGCCGGUCUCAGUUCGGAUUGCAGGCUGAAACUCGCCUGCAUGAAGCCGGAAUCGCUAGUAAUGGCAGGUCAGCUAUACUGCCGUGAAUACGUUCCCGGGUCUUGUACACACCGCCCGUCAAACCAUGAAAGUCGCCAAUACCUGACGUGUGAGCUUUGCCUCGCCCUAAGGUAGGGGAGAUGAUUGGGGUUAAGUCGUAAUCAAGGUAACC